CGUGAAACUGCGAAUGGCUCAUUAAAUCAGUUAUCGUUUAUUUGAUAAUACCUUACUACUUGGAUAACCGUGGUAAUUCUAGAGCUAAUACAUGCUGAAAAUCCCGACUUCGGAAGGGAUGUGUUUAUUAGAUAAAAAACCAAUGCCCUUCGGGGCUUUUUGGUGAUUCAUGAUAACUUAACGGAUCGCAUAGCCUUGCGCUGGCGACGGUUCAUUCAAAUUUCUGCCCUAUCAACUUUCGAUGGUAAGGUAUUGGCUUACCAUGGUUUCAACGGGUAACGGGGAAUUAGGGUUCGAUUCCGGAGAGGGAGCCUGAGAAACGGCUACCACAUCCAAGGAAGGCAGCAGGCGCGCAAAUUACCCAAUCCCGACACGGGGAGGUAGUGACAAUAAAUACUGAUAUAGGGCUCUUUUGGGUCUUGUAAUUGGAAUGAGUACAAUUUAAACCUCUUAACGAGGAACAAUUGGAGGGCAAGUCUGGUGCCAGCAGCCGCGGUAAUUCCAGCUCCAAUAGCGUAUAUUAAAGUUGUUGCAGUUAAAAAGCUCGUAGUUGAAACUUGGGUCUGGCUGGCGGGUCCGCCUCACCGCGUGCACUCGUCCGGCCGGGCCUUCCUUCUGAAGAACCUCAUGCCCUUCACUGGGCGUGUUGGGGAAUCAGGACUUUUACUUUGAAAAAAUUAGAGUGUUCAAAGCAGGCCUUUGCUCGAAUACGUUAGCAUGGAAUAAUAAAAUAGGGCGUGCGUUUCUAUUUUGUUGGUUUCUAGAAGCGCCGCAAUGAUUAACAGGAACAGUCGGGGGCAUCAGUAUUCAGUUGUCAGAGGUGAAAUUCUUGGAUUUACUGAAGACUAACUACUGCGAAAGCAUUUGCCAAGGAUGUUUUCAUUAAUCAGUGAACGAAAGUUAGGGGAUCGAAGACGAUCAGAUACCGUCGUAGUCUUAACCGUAAACUAUGCCGACUAGGGAUCGGGCGAUGUUCUUUUUCUGACUCGCUCGGCACCUUACGAGAAAUCAAAGUUUUUGGGGUUCUGGGGUGGAUUAUGGUCCGCAAGGCUGGAAACUUAAAGAAAUUGACGGAAGGUCACCACCAGGCGUGGAGCCUGCGGCUUAAUUUGACUCCUCACUCGGAAACUCACCAAGUCCACAUGAACUAAGGAUUGUCCGAUU
rnacentral:rRNA from 1 species